UACGUAGGGUGCAAGCGUUAAUCGGAAUUACUGGGCGUAAAGCGUGCGCAGGCGGUUUUGUAAGUCUGUCGUGAAAUCCGCGGGCUUAACCUGGGAAUGGCGAUGGAGACUGCAAGGCUAGAGUUUGGCAGAGGGGGGUAGAAUUCCACGUGUAGCAGUGAAAUGCGUAGAGAUGUGGAGGAACACCGAUGGCGAAGGCAGCCCCCUGGGUCAAAACUGACGCUCAUGCACGAAAGCGUGGGGAGCAAACAGG
rnacentral:rRNA from 1 species